ACUCUGCAAGUUUUGUUUGGAAAUGGUUGGGUCUUGGGACCCAUUGUCAAAAACUAGUCCUUGCUUUUUAGCCCUGGACCAAAUCAAAUCCAGGAGAAUGUCUAUGGCUUAUGUAAGAAUAAUAACGGCUGUUGUCUUUGAGACAGUUUCUACUCUGAAACUUGUAUUCUACUUUUCUUAACAGUACUCUCAAAAAGAAGACAAGUAUGAAGAAGAAAUAAAGAUUCUUACUGAUAAACUCAAGGAGGCGGAGACCCGGGCUGAGUUUGCUGAAAGAUCGGUAGCCAAACUGGAAAAGACCAUUGAUGACUUGGAAGAUAAGCUGAAGUGCACCAAAGAGGAGCAUCUCUGUACACAAAGGAUGCUGGACCAGACCCUGCUGGACCUGAACGAGAUGUAGACCUUCCCCAUCCCUGCCCUGCCCUGCGGCCG
rnacentral:lncRNA from 1 species